rnacentral:rRNA from 1 species
UACGUAGUGGGCAAGCGUUGUUCGGAUUUACUGGGCGUAAAGGGCGCGUAGGCGGCGCGUAAAGUCGGACAUGAAAUCAUUGGGCUUAACCCAAUGGCUGUGCCCGAUACUUGCGUGCUUAGAGUGCGGGAGAGGCAAUCGGAAGUCUCGGUGUAGCGGUGAAAUGCGUAGAUAUCGAGAGGAACUCCAGUGACGAAGGUGGGUUGCUGGAACGACACUGACGCUGAGGCGCGAAAGCUAGGGGAGCAAACGGG